rnacentral:rRNA from 1 species
UACAGAGGGGGCUAGCGGUGUUCGGAAUUACUGGGCGUAAAGGGUGCGUAGGCGGCCUGCCAAGUCAGGUGUGAAAUCCCGGGGCUUAACCUCGGAAUUGCACUUGAAACUAGCAGGAUUGAGGACGAGAGAGGAUAGUGGAAUUCCUAGUGUAGGAGUGAAAUCCGUAGAUAUUAGGAGGAACACCAGUGGCGAAGGCGGCUAUCUGGCUCGUAUCUGACGCUGAGGCACGAAAGCGUGGGGAUCAAACAGG